UACGGGGGGGGCAAGCGUUGUUCGGAAUUACUGGGCGUAAAGGGCUCGUAGGUGGCCAACUAAGUCAUACGUGAAAUCCCUCGGCUUAACCGGGGAACUGCGUCUGAUACUGGAUGGCUUGAGUUUGGGAGAGGGACGCGGAAUUCCAGGUGUAGCGGUGAAAUGCGUAGAUAUCUGGAGGAACACCGGUGGCGAAGGCGGCGUCCUGGACCAAUACUGACACUGAGACCCGAAAGCGUGGGGAUCAAACAGG
rnacentral:rRNA from 1 species